UGGCAUGAUCAUGGCUCACUGCAGCCUUGACCUCCCGGGCUCAAGCAAUCCUCCCAUCUCAGCCUCCUGGGUAGUUGAUACCACACGUACACGUCACCAAGCCUGACUAAUUAUUUGUUUUUUAAGGUUUCUUUGUUGUAGAGACAGAGUCUCACUAUGUUGCCCAGGUUGGUCUUGAACUCCUGGGUUCAAGCGAUCCAUCCACUUUGGCCUCCCAAAGUGCUGGGAUUACAGGUGUGAGCCAACGCACUCAGCCUCUAUUUCCCGUUGAACUGGUUUUGGUAAGAUAUUUUACAGGCUAACUGUGUAUUUCAUCUAGCAGUCAGCAAGUGUUUGCACAUCGUUAUAAAUUAUGUCUUGUUAUGAACUUGUUCUAACAACAAUUCACUCUAAGCAGGCAUUCCGCAUGCUCAUUACAUAAUAUUUUUGUCUCUGUGCAGCUGCACAUCUGCACCAUAGUGUAGCUCCCUGUCCCCGGAUGACCGACUGGAACUAGGUUUCUCCAUCCCCAAUAGGCCUCACUGUGUCUCAUCACACCAAAGUAUUUUUUAAAAGGCUUAAUGAAGACACCAUCCUCUGUAUCAUCCCCCGGGAAGGCUGAGCAGGUUGCGCACCAUAAAUACACUUCAACGUUCCUAUCUGCCUAAGCCUUGGAUCCCCUCCUCUGUAAUAUAGCAAGGUUUCCAACAUUAUAAAUUGGCAAAGGUCUUGCAAUUGUUUGGAUGCCUCCUCCCAGAUCAGUUUUGGUCGUCAUUACCCGAGGGUCUGCCAGGAUGUUAUGGUUCUGAAAAUAAUAAAAGCUGGGAGUAAAAUCAACAGUCCGCUCAAGGCAGCAGCCUCAGUAUGGUCAGAAAAAUCCAGCCCAUUCUACAAGAAGAAUCUAAUAUAAGAAUCUUACAACGUUCUGUUACAACAGCUACUUGAUGUCCCAAGGCCUUGCUUGCCAUAGGCAGCUGACCCCAGGCAAUUACAGAUUCUAAUUUAGGUAACUGAUUUGUCAAAGCACGUCAUGAACGGCUAGCAUCUCACUUUCCACUGGCAAUGAAGUCGCUGUGGCCUUCAAAUCUAAAAAGAUGAAAGGAACAAUUCCAGAUUCCUAUAUUCACAUAUUUGUUCUCCAAAAACCCCUUUUAAAACCAAAACAACUGUGGAAAGAGCAUGCAGAGCAAAAGCCAGGGAAGCCACCAGUGGGUGGGAGAAGCUGUCACUAACGGGCAAGGAUGACUUUCAAGAGCUCCCAAGGGAGGGGCUGGGCAUCUCACUUGCCCCACACUUGGCUACUGGCACCUUCAGAAGACAGUGUCCUCUCCUUCUCUCCUGACUUCUAGAUCUUUCUCUAGAGCCUCUCACUGGGGAACAAAGCAAGAACCACACAAGGAAGGGGCUUCUGGGAAGUCUCUGCCAACCAGAGGAAAGCUUCGAAGGGAAUGGUGGUGACAGGGAAUUGACACAGACAAUCCCGUAUAGCGAGAUGGUUUCUCUUGUAGCUGUUUCACUUUGAAGACGCCGACAGACCCACACCCUCUGAGUGCUAACAGUAGUCUUAAAAGCGUCAUGGAAGGCCGGACAUGGUGACUCAUGCCUGUAAUCCCAGCACUCUGGGAGGCCGAGGCUGGUA